rnacentral:rRNA from 1 species
AUGGCGGCGCCUCGGGAGCUGGACCUCUCCGACGAGGUCGAGGGCGAGAUGGACGGCACCACCGACUUCGUCUUCCGCCUCGUCGGCGACCCCAUCCCCGUCCUACCCCCCGCCUCCGCCCCGCUCCCCCUCUUCGACCUCCAGUCCCCUCCCGCGCGCCCGCUCGCCGUCUCCGACCGCCACGCCGCGGUCUUCCUCGCUCACCCCAACGGGUUUAUCGCCGCGAGGACGAAGGCGUUGAUCGAGGCCAGCAAGGAGGCCAGGGAGAAGGGCAAGGCGAGCACCCGCUGCGCGCAGGACUGCUGCGUCACCGACGUGCCCCUCCCCGGCGUCACUCUCCUAGCGCUCUCCCGCGAUCAGUCCGUGCUAGCUGCCUGCACGGGCACUGAGAUCCAGUUAUUCUCGGCUACUUCCUUGCUCACCGAUAAGGAUAUCAAGCCGUCAUCAUCAUGUAGCAUGGGACGAUCUGGCACUGUCAAAGAUUUCAAAUGGCUAGAUAAUGCCUAUAUUAUACUCUCGAAUGGUGGAUUGCUAUCUCAUGGGAGUUUGGGGCAAGGCCUGAAGGAUAUAAUGGAAAAUGUUGAUGCUGUUGACUGUUCCAAGGACGGGAACCAUAUUGCUGUGGCAAGAAAGAAUUCACUCAGGAUAUUAUCACCAGAUUUGAAGGAAACAUGUUGCAUGGCCCUCUUGUUUCAGUUGUGGCCUGAUAGUGAUUCAGAGGGCACUGACAUCAAAGUGGAUUCCAUCGGGUGGGUUCGCGAUGAUAGCAUUGUUGUCGGUUGUGUUCGAUUGAAUGAAGAAAGCAAUGAAGAGGGUUAUCUGGUCCAAGUUAUAAGAAGUGGAGGAGAUACAUUUUUUGAGAGCUCAAGCAAGCCAGUUGUUUUUAGCUAUGAUGUUUUCGGAGGUAUCAUGGAUGAUAUUUUACCAUCUGGAGUUGGACCAAAUCUGCUAUUGGGCUAUCUGCAUCGCUGGGAUCUCCUGGUUGUUACAAAUAAAAAGAGCACCGAUGACCACAUUUCUCUUUUGAAAUGGCCGUCGAGAACUGAUGAGGAAAGAACUGUGGUAUACCUCGAAAUGGUGGAGGAUAAAUAUAGUCCUAGGAUUGAUCUGCAAGAAAAUGGUGAUGACAAUGUUAUAUUGGGGUUUGGUGUGGAGAAUGUUUCGUUAUUUCAGAAGAUCACAGUACUGGUUGGACCUGAACAGAAGGAGGUUGCCCCUCAACAUCUUCUACUUUAUUUGACUAGUGAAGGGAAACUAAUUAUUUACUAUCUUGCCAGGAUUUCUGACCCGUCCGAUUUACCUCAAACAAGUCUGUCUACCAUUGAGGAUAGUAAUGUGAAUAAACAAAUUUCUCCUGCAACUGCGUCUAAUAAGGAUCUGACUCCAAGUGUUACAAGCUCAAUGGCCAAGAGUCUGCUCGCAGGACCUGGGGCAUCUAGCGCACCAGCAGAGAAAGAUCAGCAUGGAUCAGGAGAUGCAAAGAGCAGUUUCCCAAUUUCAAAUAGCAAGGACAUAGCUGCUGGCAGUUCAUUGCUUAUCUCUUCUGAUAAGAAGCCAUUGGAUACCAAGCAAGUGAACACGGCUUCCCCAUUUGCACCUCCUUCUAGCUCAGCACCAACAGGCAACAUGAAACCUGGAAUGCCGUUCAGCUUUUCAACAGGUAAUAAUGUUGGUCUAAAUUCAACAGGAAGCAAGGGAUCUAGUGAACCAGUAUCUUCAUGGCAACCGAACACCAGCGGCAGUUUUGUAAGCAGCCAACUUGGUAAAGGUGGCUUCGAUUCAGCCAAACCACUGGGAGCAUUUGGGGGGUCUCAGAACGCUACAAAAAGUGGUGGUAGCCUUAGUUUUAAAUCAUCAGUGUUCAGCUCAGAUGGAUCUGUUCCAGUUAAGACUGCAGAAAGGGAUGGGGCUAGUAGUUUCGGAAGCUACCCAGCGCAAACCAGCUACACUACUGAGAGGAAAGUUCUUGGUUCCUCAGCUGGCUUAAGUUCUGUGCCAUCAUUGUCGAUUUCUCCAAAUAAACCAGUUGGAGCUUCAUCUGCUGGGUUUGGGGCAGGAAAUCUUGAAGUACCUCCUGUCUCCCGUGGAUCACCUCUGCCACAACAAACCAUUGGCAAAUCACCCAACAACAGGAACCAUACGUCAGCGGAUUCAAAAAAUUUCAAGUUGGGCACAAUGUUUGAUACCCAACAAGAUCUAUCUAAGAAGAUUUACAGUAUAAAUGAUAUGACCGAGGAGUUAGAUACCCUCCUGUCAUACAUAGAAAAAGAUGGUGGUUUCAGAGAUGCUUGCAUGACCUUGCAGCAGCGUCCUCUUUCAGUUCUUGAGGGUGAUCUGCAAAACCUCUUGGAACUAUUGCAGGUCUUCAAGAACAAAGUAGAGGAACAAUGUUCAAAAGCUGAAGAUCUUCGAAAUAAGAUGUUCCAAGUUUCUGCUAGGCAAGCUUAUAUGAAGGGAAUUCUCACUCAGUCUUCAGAUACUCAGUACUGGGAUAUAUGGAACCGCCAGAAUUUGAGUCCAGAAUUUGAGGCAAAGAGGCAAAAUAUUCUCAAAGCUAAUCAGGAUUUGACAAAUCAGCUGGUAGAGCUGGAGAGGCACUUCAAUAAUCUGGAGAUGAACAAAUUUGGUGAAACUGGAAGAGUUGCUUCAAGUCGUAGAGCUGUUUAUUCCAACAAGUCACGGUCUAGUCAGACACAGUUAUCCAGCGUGUACAAUGCACUGAAUUCGCAAUUAGCAGCAGCAGAGCAACUAUCUGAAUGCCUUUCAAAGCAGAUAUCUGCACUAAAUAUAAGUUCUCCUUCUAAGAAGCGAGGGGCAGUGACCAAAGAGUUGUUUGAAUCAAUUGGUCUAGCCCAUACGGCAGAUGCAGCCAAAUUUUCAGGCGGUACCCCUUCCAAGUUAAUUCAAAGGUUUCCAUCCACGAAAGAGCACACAAAGGGCAUGCUGGGACCUUCCAAGAGUGCUGAACCUGAGACUGCACGAAGGAGGAGAGAGUCACUGGAUAGGAGUUUGGCUAGUUUGGAGCCUCAGAAAACUACUGUAAAGAGAAUAGCGCAGCAACAACGCCUCAAGAUUAGCAGUGAUCUCCCAUUCAGGUCAAACAAGAAAAUGUUUGAUUCUCAAAUGGCAGCUAUCUCCCAGGAAACUUUUGGUGGUAGCCCCAGUUCAUCAAUAGUCGAAUCAUAUACUAGCAGGGUUCGUUCUCCAAUUGAAGUGCUGGAUGAGAAAACAAAACCGUCAGGACCCCAGGGCAACUCUUUGUUCAAAUGGGUAAAGGAACCAGCUGGGUCAUCUCAGGGUUCAGAGCAAAAGCAUCUUGACUUAUCAGGGCGAAUGAGAAGUGCUGAUCAGUCUUCAAAGUUGACACCAUCUUCACCGGCAUCAUUCAGUUACACACAGAAGGAUGCAAGGGAUAGGACCAGCACACCUAAUGUUGCAUCUUUAGGCACAAUGCAUACCGUGCCUAAGUCAAAUACUCUGACCUUCAAAACCAAUAUAGCUCCUAAAACUAACACCAAUACACGGCCAGAUAUGUCACCUUCAGUGUCGAGCCCGAUGCCUGUCAAAACUUUGUCUGGGGAUUCUGGAGCUGGAUUUACCUUGACUACAAAGAACAGAUAUGGUGACCAGGACGUACCAUCUUUUGGAAGCAUGAAAGGGUUUGGCAUUUCUCCACAGAAUACAGGUGUUAAUAAACCAUCUUUGUCUUCUGAACCUUCUAAGCCUGUUGUGUUGCAUGGGAAGACUUUCCAAGUUAGUGGAGUCAGUGAUACUAUGCAGAACUCAGCCAAAGCUUCACCCCAGGUGGCAUUUUCACCAACAUCACAGUCAUCUUCAUUUCCUAUAAUGUCAGGUGCUUCCUCUUCAGCUGCAUCGCUCUUAUCAACCAUGCAAGCAUCAGCUGCAAAGACUUCUGAUGUUUCAUCUCCAACGGUUUCUUCCACACUCCCACCACAGGAGUCAGCACCAAAAACUCACCCAACAGUACCUGAGGGUACCGUGUCUUGUUCCCUGCCAUCUAUACCAACACCUGUUAAGGAGUCAUUACCUGGCUUGAAUAAAAAUGCAUCUACUAAACCUGAAGUGGUGGCACCAGAGGUAACUGGAACCACAGUCUCUGUAAGUGCUACUUUAACAGGCGUACCUACAAGUGAAAGCAAAACUGCAUUGCUUCCGGUGACCAAUAGCAGCUUACCUUCUAAUCCUCCAUCCAUUCCUGUGCCUAAAGUUGUGCCAGGGGCAACAGAAUCUGCUGUUGUCACUUCCACAAGAAAAGAUGGAGGACCAAGCAAUCUCUCAUCAGAUGAAGAUGAAAUGGAUGAGGAGCGUCCUUCUGCAAGUGCAGAUCUAAACUUGGGAGCCCUUAGUGGGUUUGGUCUUGGGUCCGCACCUUCUUCAAGUCCUAAAAAAUCCAAUCCUUUUGGGAGCGCAUUUGGUACGUCUGAGAGUAAAAGUUCAAGCUCACCGUUUACUUUGACCACCAGCCCAGGACAGCUUUUCCGUCCAGCAUCACUGAGCAUUCCUUCAUCUCAGCCAGCACAGCCAUCUCAAUCAACUAGCUCAAGUACAUUUUCUAGUGCAUUCUCAAGUGGGCUUGGUGGAUUUGGACAGUCUGCACAGAUUGGAUCAGGGCAGCAGUCGGGAUUUGGGCAGUCUGCACAAAUUGGAGCUGGUCAGCAGGCAGGUUUUGGGCAGCCAGCACAAAUUCAGUCAGGAUUUGGCCAGCCGGCACAAGUUGGAGCUGCGCAACAGUCAGGAUUUGGGCAGCCUGCACAAAUUGGGGGUGGGCAGCAGUCAGGAUUCGGGCAGCCUGCACAGCUUGGUGCUCAGCAGGCGCUUGGAUCUGUUCUGGGUUCUUUUGGACAAUCACGCCAGCUAGGAGGCUUUGGUGGAUUUGCUAGUUCCUCUUCUGGGGCUUUUGCUUCUGCACCUUCCAGUAAUUCUGGAUUUGCUGGUGCUGCAGCAGGUGGAGGUUUCUCUGCAGCUGCUACUUCUGUUGGUGGAGGGUUUGCUGCUGCUGCUACCGGUGGAGGGUUUGCUUCUCUUGCCUCCAAAAGCGGUGGUGGUUUUGCUGCCGCAGCUUCAUCUUCUGGUGGUUUUGGAGGUGCAGCCCAGGGUGGUGGUUUUGGAGGUGCGGCCCAGGGUGGUGGUUUUGGAGGUGCAGCCCAGGGAGGUGGCUUCGGAGGUGGUGGUUUUGGAGCUUUUGGCAGUAAUAACCAAGGGUCUACUGGUUUCUCAUCAUUUGGUGGGAGUGGCGCUGCAGGGCCUGGAAGACCCCCGGCGGAUUUUUUGACGCAGAUGAGAAAAUAG